rnacentral:rRNA from 1 species
UCUGGAAACUNUCUGACUUGAGUGCAGAAGGGGAGAGUGGAAUUCCAUGUGUAGCGGUGAAAUGCGUAGAUAUAUGGAGGAACACCAGUGGCGAAAGCGGCUCUCUGGUCUGUCACUGACGCUGAGGCUCGAAAGCGUGGGUAGCGAACAGGAUUAGAUACCCUGGUAGUNCACGCCGUAAACGAUGAGUGCUAGGUGUUAGGCCCUUUCCGGGGCUUAGUGCCGGAGCUAGCGCAAUAAGCACUCCGCCUGGGGAGUACGACCGCAAGGUUGAAACUCAAAGGAAUUGACGGGGGCCCGCACAAGCGGUGGAGCAUGUGGUUUAAUUCGAAGCAACGCGAAGAACCUUACCAGGUCUUGACAUCCCGAUGCUAUUCUUAGAGAUAGGAAGUUACUUCGGUACAUCGGAGACAGGUGGUGCAUGGUUGUCGUCAGCUCGUGUCGUGAGAUGUUGGGUUAAGUCCCGCAACGAGCGCAACCCUUAUUGUUAGUCGCCAUCAUUAAGUUGGGCACUCUAGCGGGACUGCCGGUAAUAAACCGGAGGAAGGUGGGGAUGACGUCAAAUCAUCAUGCCCCUUAUGACCUGGGCUACACACGUGCUACAAUGGUCGGUACAACGAGUUGCGAGCCGGUGACGGCAAGCUAAUCUCUGAAAGCCGAUCUCAGUUCGGAUUGGAGGCUGCAACUCGCCUCCAUGAAGUCGGAAUCGCUAGUAAUCGCGGAUCAGCACGCCGCGGUGAAUACGUUCCCGGGCCUUGUACACACCGCCCGUCACACCACGAGAGUUUGUAACACCCGAAGUCGGUGAGGUANCCUUUUAGGG